rnacentral:lncRNA from 1 species
GGCACUAGUUUAGCCUUGUAUCCCUCCAUAGUCCCAUCACACUUGUAUUUUAUAGUAAGUACCUACCUACCCACGACAAGUCUCUUUUCCUUGGAUAAGUCCACCACUUCCCAUAUCUAGUUCUUUUUUAGUGCUUCAAUGUUCAUAGCAACUCCCGCUCCUUACAUCUUAAAGCCUCAAACAAUGUCUUAAGAAUAGAAACUGCAUUUAGACUCAUAUGGAAGAACACCUUAAAUGACAAAAUUUGAGAUUGAGUAGAGUAUGGUUAAUGCAUUCUCUCGUCUUUUUUUUUUUUUCAAUGCAAUAAAUCUGUUUAUAUCAAAAGACAAAGGGUCCUUGAAGUUUACCUCAUUUCCAACACUUGAAUAAGAUGCUUGAACUUGCUUCAGAUCGAGAUUUAAGUUUUUCCUUAGUAAGUACAUAUAAGAAAAUAGUGGGUUCUGUAAGGUUAUGGGUUCAUGUUCAUUUUGUGAACUCAAGUUCUUUGGUGUUUUAGGUAUUUGAGAGGGUAGUAUUUGAGGGUAAGAGAAUCUCAAAGAAAGAAUAUGUCCUCCUUAUCUUCUAAUAGAAUCUCUCUGUAAACAUAAAUUUGAUCAAAUAAGGAUUAUGUCUCAACAAAAGUAACAUCAACAUAUGCAUAAAAAUUAUGGAUGGAAGGUUGACAAAACUUGCAUCCUUUUUUGUGUGGGAGAGUACUCCAUGUACACCACUUAGACCUUUGGUCAAGUUUCCCCCCUUGGAGUUGGUAUAUGUGAACAUAGGUAAAGUACCUAAGAACUCUAGAGAUAAGGUUAUUUGUAACCUACGUCAGAAAAUAAAAUAGAUAGGACUUCCAUAAAACUGCGAAAUUCUAACACCUCAAAUGGUAACUUUUUACAAGAUAUGUGGUAGUUAACACAGCUUCCCCUCAAUAGUAUUUAGGCACAUGGUUCUAGAAUAAAAAAAACACAUGUAAUAGCAAGUAAGUGGCUGUUUUUCAUUCUGUCACAUAAUUUUGUUCUAAAGUAAAAACACAGGAAGACUCAUGAACAAAUCCCUUUACCUUGAAAAAAUUAGGAAUGUUUGGUUAAAAGAAUUACGAGCAUUAUCAAUACGAAAG